rnacentral:rRNA from 1 species
AUUGAACGCUGGCGGCAUGCCUUACACAUGCAAGUCGAACGGUAACGCGGGGCAACCUGGCGACGAGUGGCGAACGGGUGAGUAAUAUAUCGGAACGUGCCCAGUAGUGGGGGAUAGCCCGGCGAAAGCCGGAUUAAUACCGCAUACGACCUACGGGUGAAAGCGGGGGAUCGCAAGACCUCGCGCUAUUGGAGCGGCCGAUAUCAGAUUAGGUAGUUGGUGGGGUAAAGGCCUACCAAGCCUACGAUCUGUAGCUGGUCUGAGAGGACGACCAGCCACACUGGGACUGAGACACGGCCCAGACUCCUACGGGAGGCAGCAGUGGGGAAUUUUGGACAAUGGGCGCAAGCCUGAUCCAGCCAUGCCGCGUGCGGGAAGAAGGCCUUCGGGUUGUAAAGGCUCUUUACCUAGGGAUGA